rnacentral:misc_RNA from 1 species
UGCAUCAACCUCUCCUGUGAUCUGCAGCACAAUUAUGGAACAAAAUGGCAAAUUGAGAAUGCAUGAAACAUGCACACACAAGGCGCAUGCAUAUAUAAUUUGAAAUAUAAACUAAUCCUGAUUCCUGAGACAGCAAUUGCAAGCCAUUGCUGUUAAGACUGCAGUCAUAAUGUUGAAACAUCUAUCCCAUUCUGUGAGAAGUUGGUAUGAUA